AUGCAAGUCGUGGGGAAACGGCAUUAUGUGCUUGCACAUUCUGGACGUCGACCGGCGCACGGGUGAGUAUCGCGUAUCCAACCUGCCCCUUACUUGGGGAUACCCCGUUGAAAGACGGCCUAAUACCCGAUGUGUUUCAUUGACGGCAUCCGAUAUGAAACAAAGGUUUUUCCGGUAAGGGAUGGGGAUGCGUCUGAUUAGCUAGUUGGCGGGGCAACGGCCCACCAAGGCGACGAUCAGUAGGGGUUCUGAGAGGAAGGUCCCCCACAUUGGAACUGAGACACGGUCCAAACUCCUACGGGAGGCAGCAGUGAGGAAUAUUGGUCAAUGGACGCAAGUCUGAACCAGCCAAGUAGCGUGCAGGAUGACGGCCCUAUGGGUUGUAAACUGCUUUUAUGUGGGAAUAAAUUGGCGCACGUGUGCGCCAUUGCAUGUACCUCAUGAAUAAGGACCGGCUAAUUCCGUGCCAGCAGCCGCGGUAAUACGGAAGGUCCGGGCGUUAUCCGGAUUUAUUGGGUUUAAAGGGAGUGUAGGCGGUCUGUUAAGCGUGCUGUGAAAUUUAGGUGCUCAACAUUUAACUUGCAGCGCGAACUGUCAGACUUGAGUACACGCAGCGCAGGCGGAAUUCAUGGUGUAGCGGUGAAAUGCUUAGAUAUCAUGAGGAACUCCGAUCGCGAAGGCAGCCUGCGGGAGUGUUACUGACGCUUAAGCUCGAAGGUGCGGGUAUCGAACAGGAUUAGAUACCCUGGUAGUCCGCACAGUAAACGAUGGAUGCCCGCCGUUGGCGCCCUGCGCCUGCGGCCAAGCG
rnacentral:rRNA from 1 species